GCAAAAGACAGAUCUGAAAUCCAAGCGAGUGGUGGACCCUCUGGGGCAGUGUUGAUGCUGCUCUCAUACUUCAAAGAAGAUCAGACAAAAAUGUUUCACAUAGUUGACAAUACAUGCAUUGCAGAUGAGGUUGAGACUGAACACCUGCCACCCACACCAUGCAUUAUUGUAUGUGGAACAAGUCCAAUAUCUGCUGCAGCUUUCAUGGUGGCAGCAGACCAGGAGGUGAUAAUUGACCAUUUGAUGAGCUUCAGUGAUGCACUGGUCAGCUGGGUUCAUCUGUUACUACAGUUUCAACAUGCACUACCCUGUGGAACUCGGGGCUACGCUGGAGUUUCUUCAAAGGUGCAUAUUUAAGAUCAAUCCGGACAAGGGCUCUAAAGUUGAGCGUCUCGAAAAAAAGAAGAGCAAUGUAGUCAACCCAAAAGUGCUGACCCUCAUUAACCACAUUUCUGAGAAUGAAUGGAGUGCUUAAUUGGUCCAAGGAGGGAACCACAGUUGGCCUGUUUAAGCCAAAGUUCAAGAUCCCAGAUG